GAUGAACGCUGGCGGCGUGCCUAAUACAUGCAAGUCGAGCGAACAGACGAGGAGCUUGCUCCUCUGACGUUAGCGGCGGACGGGUGAGUAACACGUGGAUAACCUACCUAUAAGACUGGGAUAACUUCGGGAAACCGGAGCUAAUACCGGAUAAUAUAUUGAACCGCAUGGUUCAAUAGUGAAAGACGGUUUUGCUGUCACUUAUAGAUGGAUCCGCGCCGCAUUAGCUAGUUGGUAAGGUAACGGCUUACCAAGGCAACGAUGCGUAGCCGACCUGAGAGGGUGAUCGGCCACACUGGAACUGAGACACGGUCCAGACUCCUACGGGAGGCAGCAGUAGGGAAUCUUCCGCAAUGGGCGAAAGCCUGACGGAGCAAUGCCGCGUGAGUGAUGAAGGUCUUCGGAUCGUAAAACGCUGUUAUAGGGAAGAACAAAUGUGUAAGUAACUAUGCACGUCUUGACGGUACCUAAUCAGAAAGCCACGGCUAACUACGUG
rnacentral:rRNA from 1 species